AAUCUCAUAGCUCAAUGGUUGGAGCAUCGGUCUGAUACGCAGAAGGUUGAAGGUUCGAGUCCUUCUGGGAUUACAA
rnacentral:tRNA from 1 species